rnacentral:lncRNA from 1 species
CUUCCUCCUUUCUAAAAUAAAUCUCUACAUCUCGUUUCUAAAAUAAAUCUCUACAGCUAAUCUCAAUUUUAAUUAGAUUUAUAGAAAUAAUGUUAAAAUUUCUAUCUUCAAAUAAAUUUACUAAAAUUAUAUAUUUAGCCAAAGUUAGAAUUUUUUUUAAAACUCUUAGAAAUACGAGAUGGAGAAUUAUUUUGAGAUAAAGGGAGACCUGAAGUAUAUCUCCUUAAGAUAAAUGAUAAUUUCAUGGGGCACCAAUUUGAUUAUAGUUGAUAAUAAAAUAUGUAUGCUGAUAUUGAAAAGCAAUAGGUUGAAUUUUAUUAUUUUUUAAGUCUUGAUGCUCGGUUGUAAUUAUGAUUUGUUUGGUUGCUGUCCUAAAAGACGCAUAUCUAUCGGACAACAAAUUUUGACCACAUGACAUUCAAAAUGAGCAAUCUAAAUUGCUAUUCUCUCUGUUCCAUAUAGUGUCCUUACCACUUCUUGAGAAAAUCAGUUUUUUUUUAUUUUUUUACCAAAUGUAUAUAAUAAAACAUUAAUAUUUAUGGUAUACAAUUACUACCAUUAGAUAAAUCAUUAAUAUAUUUUCAUAAUAAAUGUAUUUACUAACAUAAAUAUUGAUAAUAUAUUUUCUAUAAAUCUAGUUGAACUUAAAAAAAUCUAAACACAAACACAUAUAUAUCGUUUGGCAUACCCUAUAACUGUAGCAUACGGAGCGUAGGUCCCUCACACGUGACAAGCAAAAUUGUGAAAGUUCGAGAGUGGAACUCCAAGCGUCCUAUGGUGGUCAAACGCUGCGUUCGUUUGGUUUAUAAGUUAUGGCAAAAAAUAUUGUUGCUGAUUUUUAUGAGAGAAAAACGCUGCUGAAUAGCUGAU